AGAUGGAUAGCUCAAUAGCGUAGAGCACAUGCUAUUAGAAGCAUGAGGUGUCGAUUCGCAACCGACUCCAUCUA
rnacentral:tRNA from 1 species